CUCGUAGGUGGUUUGUCGCGUCGUCUGUGAAAUUCCGGGGCUUAACUCCGGGCGUGCAGGCGAUACGGGCAUAACUUGAGUACUGUAGGGGAGACUGGAAUUCCUGGUGUAGCGGUGAAAUGCGCAGAUAUCAGGAGGAACACCGGUGGCGAAGGCGGGUCUCUGGGCAGUAACUGACGCUGAGGAGCGAAAGCAUGGGUAGCGAACAGGAUUAGAUACCCCCGUA
rnacentral:rRNA from 1 species